rnacentral:rRNA from 1 species
GCUUAACGCGAAGAACCUUACCAAGGCUUGACAUACACGAGAACAUCCCAGAAAUGGGGGGACUCUUUGGACACUCGUGAACAGGUGGUGCAUGGUUGUCGUCAGCUCGUGUCGUGAGAUGUUGGGUUAAGUCCCGCAACGAGCGCAACCCUCGUUCUAUGUUGCCAGCACGUAAUGGUGGGAACUCAUGGGAUACUGCCGGGGUCAACUCGGAGGAAGGUGGGGAUGACGUCAAAUCAUCAUGCCCCUUAUGUCUUGGGCUUCACGCAUGCUACAAUGGUCGGUACAAAGGGCUGCAAUACCGUGAGGUGGAGCGAAUCCCAAAAAGCCGGUCCCGGUUCAGAUUGCAGUCUGCAACCCGGACUGCAUGAAGGUGGAAUCGCUAGUAAUCGCGGAUCAGAACGCCGCGG